rnacentral:rRNA from 1 species
AGAGUUUGAUCCUGGCUCAGGAUGAACGCUGGCGGCGUGCCUAACACAUGCAAGUCGAGCGGAGUUAUUUUCAGGAAGCUUUCGGGUGGAAUGAACUUAACUUAGCGGCGGACGGGUGAGUAACGCGUGGACAACCUACCCUGUACAGGGGGAUAACAAUGGGAAACCAUUGCUAAUACCCCAUAACACCUUUUAGGGGCAUCCCUUUAAGGUCAAAGAAUUUCGGUACAGGAUGGGUCCGCGUCUGAUUAGCUAGUUGGUGAGGUAAUGGCUCACCAAGGCGACGAUCAGUAGCCGGCCUGAGAGGGUGAACGGCCACACUGGAACUGAGACACGGUCCAGACUCCUACGGGAGGCAGCAGUGGGGAAUAUUGCACAAUGGGCGAAAGCCUGAUGCAGCAACGCCGCGUGAGCGAUGAAGGCUUUCGGGUCGUAAAGCUCUGUCCUAAGGGAAGAUAAUGACGGUACCUUAGGAGGAAGCCCCGGCUAACUACGUGCCAGCCGCCGCGGUAAUUC